GACGAACGCUGGCGGCGUGCUUAACACAUGCAAGUCGAACGGAAAGGCCUGCUUUCCCUUGUGGAUUGCGGGUACUCGAGUGGCGAACGGGUGAGUAACACGUGAGUGAUCUGCCCCCAACUUGGGUAUAAGCCUGGGAAACUGGGUCUAAUUCCCGAUAGGACUGCAGGGUGGUGCCUGUGGUGGAAAACGAUUUUCUAGUGGUUGGGGAUGAGCUCGCGGCCUAUCAGCUUGUUGGUGGGGUAAUGGCCUACCAAGGCGGCGACGGGUAGCCGGCCUGAGAGGGUGGACGGCCACAUUGGGACUGAGAUACGGCCCAGACUCCUACGGGAGGCAGCAGUGGGGAAUAUUGCACAAUGGGCGGAAGCCUGAUGCAGCGACGCCGCGUGGGGGAUGACGGCCUUCGGGUUGUAAACUCCUUUCGACCGCGAGGAAGCCACCUGGUUGGAAGGGUGGUGACGGUAGUGGUAGAAGAAGCAACGGCUAACUACGUG
rnacentral:rRNA from 1 species